AGGAUCAACGCUGGCGGCGUGCCUAAAACAUGCAAGUCGGACGGUGUCCUUCGGGGCACAGUGGCGGACGGCUGAGUAGCACGUGGGCGACCUGCCGCGAGGUGGGGGAUAACCCUCCGAAAGGGGGGCUAAGACCGCAUAGGUUCUGGAGGUCGGACUGCAGAACAAAGCUCUUAGGAGCGCCUUGCGAGGGGCCCGCGGCCGAUUAGCUAGUUGGUGGGGUAACGGCCUACCAAGGCCACGAUCGGUAGCCGGUCUGAGAGGAUGACCAGCCACACUGGGACUGAGACACGGCCCAGACUCCUACGGGAGGCAGCAGUGGGGAAUAUUGGACAAUGGGCGCAAGCCUGAUCCAGCCAUGCCGCGUGGGUGAAGAAGGCCUUAGGGUUGUAAACCCCUUUCAGCGGGGAAGAUAAUGACGGUACCCGCAGAAGAAGUCCCGGCUAACUCCGCGCCAGCAGCCGC
rnacentral:rRNA from 1 species